rnacentral:tRNA from 1 species
GGGCCCGUAGCUCAACCAGGUCAGAGCGGCGGAGCCUUAGAAAAGGCGUUGAGGCUCAUAGCCUGGUGUUGAGAAACCCGUUGGUUGGGGGUUCAAAGCAGGUAUGCGAACAGAUCCCUCCGGGCCCA